rnacentral:rRNA from 2 species
UACGGCGAGUGAGCGGCAAAAGCUCAAAUUUGAAAUCUAGCACCUUCGGUGUUCGAGUUGUAAUUUGAAGAUGGUAACCUUGGGUUUGGCUCUUGUCUAUGUUCCUUGGAACAGGACGUCAUAGAGGGUGAGAAUCCCGUCUGAUGAGAUGCCCAUUCCUAUGUAAGGUGCUAUCGAAGAGUCGAGUUGUUUGGGAAUGCAGCUCUAAGUGGGUGGUAAAUUCCAUCUAAAGCUAAAUAUUGGCGAGAGACCGAUAGCGAACAAGUACAGUGAUGGAAAGAUGAAAAGAACUUUGAAAAGAGAGUGAAAAAGUACGUGAAAUUGUUGAAAGGGAAGGGCAUUAGAUCAGACUUGGUGUUUUACGAUUAUCUUCUCUUCUUGAGUUGUGCACUCGUAUUUCACUGGGCCAGCAUCGAUUCGGAUGGCAAGAUAAUGGCAGUUGAAUGUGGCUUCACUUCGGUGGAGUGUUAUAGCUUCUGCUGAUAUUGCCUGUCUGGAUCGAGGGCUGCGUCUUUUGACUAGGAUGCUGGCGUAAUGAUCUAAUGCCGCCCGUCUU